GGGAGGACACUUGGGCCGCUGCUGUGCCGCCGCCACCGUUGGCAGUCGCCACCUCCGUCCGGACUGAAGGAGAAUCCUCAGGCGUGUUCGGUGCUGAUGACAAGAUUGAUAUAGACAGACGGACAGACAGACAGGAAUGGGAGUUCUCCUUAAUUAAAAUGUGUUGGAGAUGGCAAAGGUGCAGGUAUUAACCCCGAGGGGCCCAUAACCCCGAGGUCUCUCGAAACCCGCUCUUACUUUCAGUGCCUUGACAAGUAAAGACGAGAUACGAUAAGUAUGCAUCGGACACGAUAAUUCGAUAUGUAAUAGACAUUUGGUUGUUAUGAACCAAUUAGCCACUACAUAAUGUGUAAUCGUUUCCGCUUCAUAAUACUCGUACCUCGUCCUUAUUCGUCGUUACAUUGAAUGUAUGAGGUGGGGGGGAUGAAAUGAUGUGCAAAUGGAUACAGACGAAAAAACUGGCCGUUGUGCAGGUGCCCGCUUCCUCACGUUAAGAUAUUUGGCAUCGUGCCGCUAUAUCCCCCUUCACCACCCGCGCACGAGUGGUCGCGCGCCCUGGCCCUGCCUUCCCAUUUUCACCCCCCGAACGUUGCCUAAAGUGGAGCAUCACCCGCCCACGUACCGCUCGCCCGUUUCAGCACCGGUACUACCCGGCGCGCUGCCGCCUCUGCUUGUGCCUUCUGCCAGGUGGAAACGAAGUCGACACUGUCUACGCUGCCCCCGCUGCGGCAACCCUGGGCUCGUCCGGAGCCCAACCGGGGCAUGCACAACAGCGUCGACAGCCAGGUUGCAACUGCGGACGCCGCGCCGUCUGGAGCAUCGUCCAAAUCGCGUCGUUGCCUGUGCCGCAAGUGCGGUGCGGGUGGGGAGGUGCAGAGGCUGGGUGAAGAGUUAAGAAUGAUGCUGAUGCUUGCCAUGUGACAAACGGCGAGUAAUAUGCUGCUUGCUGGGGGGGACGACAUCCGGGGAGGAAACUCAAUACAAGUGCCGUACUGUGCCGUACUGUACCGUACUGUAAAACCUAACGAGCCUGGAUUGUGUAAUAUCCUGGGUAUGUAUCCUGGCUGAUGCUGCCCUGGAGCCAUCAGCUCGCGAGUCUGUUUGCGUGUAUGUUAUAUACAUCCAACAAGGAAAGAUAUAACAACUUGACUGUCUUCGGGUCUGCUUUCCCGCCGGGGGUUUAUUUGUUAAGAGGGCUUGGGUGAACGUGCCCUUACCCGUGGCAGGCGUUCGAGGGUUUGAGGAGCGUCCUGGUUUGGCAACAUGAGCCCAGUGUCCCUACUUACCUGUAAUAAUGGACAGCAGUUGCUGGUGCGGAGAGGUC
rnacentral:lncRNA from 1 species